rnacentral:rRNA from 1 species
UACAGAGGGUGCGAGCGUUAAUCGGAAUUACUGGGCGUAAAGGGCGUGUAGGUGGUUAUGUAAGUUUGAUGUGAAAGCCCCGGGCUUAACCUGGGAACUGCGUUGAAAACUACAAGACUAGAGUUGGACAGAGGGUGGUGGAAUUUCCGGUGUAGCGGUGAAAUGCGUAGAGAUCGGAAAGAACAUCCGUGGCGAAGGCGGCCACCUGGGUCCAAACUGACACUGAGGCGCGAAAGCGUGGGGAGCAAACAGG